GUUGGGUGCGGUGGCGCACGCCUGUAAUCCCAGCAGCUCAGGAGGUUGAGUCAGGAGAAUCUCAAGUUCAAAGCCAGCCUCAGCAAUGGCAAGGCCCUAAGCAACUCAGUGAGACCCUGUCUCUA
rnacentral:sRNA from 1 species